rnacentral:rRNA from 1 species
CGCGGCCUAUCAGCUUGUUGGUGGGGUGAUGGCCUACCAAGGCGGUGACGGGUAGCCGGCCUGAGAGGGCGACCGGCCACACUGGGACUGAGACACGGCCCAGACUCCUACGGGAGGCAGCAGUGGGGAAUAUUGCACAAUGGGCGCAAGCCUGAUGCAGCGACGCCGCGUGAGGGAUGACGGCCUUCGGGUUGUAAACCUCUUUCGCCAGGGACGAAGGGUGAUACUGACGGUACCUGGAGAAGAAGCACCGGCUAACUACGUGCCAGCAGCCGCGGUAAUACGUAGGGUCCGAGCGUUGUCCGGAAUUAUUGGGCGUAAAGAGCUCGUAGGCGGUGUGUCACGUCUGCUGUGAGAGACCGGGGCUUAACUUCGGUUUUGCAGUGGAUACGGGCAUGCUUGAGGUAGGUAGGGGAGACUGGAAUUCCUGGUGUAGCGGUGAAAUGCGCAGAUAUCAGGAGGAACACCGGUGGCGAAGGCGGGUCUCUGGGCCUUACCUGACGCUGAGGAGCGAAAGCAUGGGGAGCGAACAGGGUUAGAUACCCUGGUAGUCCACGCCGUAAACGGUGGGCGCUAGGUGUGGGAUGCUGUUCACGUGUCCCGUGCCGUAGCUAACGCAUUAAGCGCCCCGCCUGGGGAGUACGG